rnacentral:misc_RNA from 1 species
UCUCCGUAGGUGAACCUGCGGAGGGAUCAUUGAAUCUAUUGAUCUUACUGUCCGGUGGUCAACCAUUGUCACGAGUGCCGCUCUGUCUGCCACUCCGAACGGGGUCCGACCGUGUGGGAACGGUGGGGCUCUGCGGGCAGAGUCGAGUGUCCCUCCCCAUCGGGAGGUCGCUCGGGCGACGGCCGAAACCCUUUUUUUUGACCGUAGACUGGCUCAGCUGAAGCUCGCCGACUUCGAAAGGAGGAGGCACCAACCUGAGACAACUCUCAACAACGGAUAUCUUGGCUCCCGCAUCGAUGAAGAACGCAGC